AUAGUGUAGAUGUUGUACAACAAUGAAAAGUAACUACAUUGUUCUGACAUUUAUGAAGGGAUUGCAUUGACAGCAGCACCUUGCAAGUGGAGAAGCUGAAUGCAUUCCUGAAGAACAUGCAGAAGAAGAGAGGCAUACUAGAGGAACUCCUACAGACAUGCUCUCAGAUUUCAGCCCAUCUGGAUGAGGCAGAGGGACCUGUGGCCUGCAUUGAACCUUUCAGGACUUUACAGGAGAGAUGGCAAACUAUAGAGCGGGUUGCCUCCAGCAGUCUGUGGUGUGCUAACAUCUGCACAGCAGAAGUAUCUGCACUCCUGCAAGAAGCCAGAGAUCUGCACCAUGAACUGGAGCUUCUGGAGAAGUCAGUUUCUCUUCCGCAUCCCUCUCGAGGACAGAUGGACUGCCGAAGUGAGCUACAAGAAACUGUCAGAUCUGCAAACCUGACAGCAUUAGCGGAGCUCUACGUGUACCUUCUUGAGGUCUCUCAGGCUCUUUCCUCAAGUCCGCUGGGAAAAAAAGAGCUCAGAGAUGUGGAGGACGCAAUGCAGGGCCUGAAUUCUCAGCUUGCUCUGACUCAGGAGACGCUCAGCUCUCAGACUUCGAAUGGCAAUGGCUGUUCACCGAUCACGAGGAUUAUCAGGGACUACGUUACAUGGGCUAAACAUUCGGAAAGCAAAGUCAGCAGGAGAAGGAGGUUGGCUCUGUUUCCUGAAGAGGCGAGUCACCAGGUCAGCCACAUGAAGAAACUGCAGUCUGAAAUAUCUCUUAAGAAGUUUCAGUUGGCCUCUGUAUUGAAAGAGCUAAGAGAGGAAGUUACAGGACUUGACAAGGAGGAUUCCAUGUCUCCCACCCUUGCUUCCCUAGAGGAUUUGUAUGUUAAGAUUACAGAGAAGACCGAAUGUGCUGUUGCAGAAAUGAACAGAAUGUUUCAUAUAAGAGAGAGACUGUGGAAACAGAUCACUGACAGCAGCUCUUGGUUAACCUCAGUAUUAGAAAAAGAGUCUGGUAAAACAGUGGCUUCUGAACCUAAAACUACUAUCCCAGAAUUGAGGGUUCAGCUUCAGGUAUGCACAGAGGCUUUGAAGGAAGCUGAGAGACAAGCAAAUAACUUGGAGACUCUGUUAGAUGAAGUAAAAAGUGUGAAUCACGGUCUGAGUGUACUCGAAAGCUUUCAGCUUAUCAAUAGGCUAACAGCCUUACAAGAAGAGGUCUCUAGGGUUGUGAACCGUAAGUGGGCCUUGCACUGGGUGCUUGAAGAACUCCUUCAUGCUCAGGAAUCUUCUGCUGAGGAACAGAACGUUAUUCUGAAGAGCUUGAGACAGAUGAGUGCUGAUGUCAUGAGGCAGAAGUAUCCCGUAACAAGGGACUCGCUCUUGGCUCUUGAACCUGUUCAGCACAUUCUGAUGGAGCUCCUGUGCAAGGUGCCGGAAAUUCCACACUGCCCAGAUUCUCGGAGAAAAGAGAUGCUCAACGCUGUACUAGACCUACAGAGGAGAAUGCAUCUGCUGGAGUUGCAAGCCAAAGAGCAUGAGGAGUGCCUCAUUUUAAGGCAGCACAUAGAGAACUCCAGAGAGGUGGUGAAGAAGAGCUUGUCGCAGAUUGUAGACUCGAGUGUAGGAGCUGACAUAAGGCUCGGCUUUUGUCAGGCUGUCCUGGUGGAGCUACCUCUGGUGAGAAUGACAUGUCAAGAGGCCGCUGACCACCUUGAGGCCAUUUCGAAAGAUCUCUAUCCAUCCCAGCUGACAGCAGAAAGGCAAAAAAUCAGUUUGGUCAUUGAGCAGCUCGCCUCUUGGGAGCUCACAGUAAAAAAUGAGGCUAAAACCCUUGAGUGCUUUCUUGCGAAGCGACUUGGGAGUCCUACAGACCUCAGUCCAUUCACUGAGCUCUUCAACAGUGUCAGGCAGCAGCUGAAGGAGAGCAUCUGCUUGGAGCCAGAUAAUGAGACCAUUGAUGCAGAGCUACGAAAGCACUGGAUGCGAAUCCAGACCGUUGAGUCUGUUCUACGAAUGCUAGAGCACUGCAGGAAAGCAGUAGAUGCUGAAAGCUACCAGACGACCACUGGUCUUGGCCAGAAAACUCUUAAUGAUUGCGGUAUGCAUAUGGACAAGCUGCUCCAAGCUCGGGAGGCACUGAAGCAUUACCACUGGGCUGUUCAGAGUGCAGAGAGCUUCUUUCAGCAGAUUGGAUCCAAUCUAAUGAUCCCCUCUGAUGGCUUCAAAGGCUACAAAGAGCAGCAUCGCUAUAUUCAACAGAUUUUCAGCACUCUGGUUGAGGGUUUCCAGGCCCGCUUGUCUGAAGUUGGUGCUUCUGUUCCCCAGCAGACAUGCCUCUCCAUCCCUCUAACCGAGCAGCUUCAUAUUGAGGUUUUGAGUCACCUUAUAGUACAAGAUGCCAAAUUAGAAUCUCAGGCUCAGCUCAGACUUGAGGCCUUACAGAGGUCCAUGAAAGACCAAAUUGUUCACAUGAGUCACCAUGAAGAAAUGAGCCAACUUCUCAAAAAUGUUGAUUCUCGAAUCUCUAGUCAAUGCUUAAGUCAAAAACCGACUGAUUCCGAAGCCUGCCAAGAUCAACAGCGGAAAGUAAAGUUGCUCCAGACAGAGCUAAAGAACCUCGCUAAAAGGCUGGAGGAAUUGAGGGAAAGUUGCCCAGGUCUACGCUGCAAAGCACCUGUGGAUCUGAUGCUGGGACAGCUGUGGAGGUCUUGGGCAGUGCUGCAGUGGAGAUUAGAAUCACUCAAAGCCAGCACAUCUUAUAAAGAAGCAGAGUGGAGAGACUUUGUGAUACGUCUGAAUAAAUCAAAGGAAGGUCUUGACAGACUGCAGAAUGAUCUUCCAGACUCCACUAUGGUGGCGGGAUCCCUGGUGGAUCUUCAGGUUGUUCUGAGCCUCACUGAGCGCCUUCAAGAUGGGAUUGAGCAGGAGCAUCACACUUUGGCAUCUCUACAACACCAUGUGGCACGAUUGCUUGGGGUCUCAAAUUUGCAGCAGCUGAAAGUGUGCCCUCAAAUCUGCCAGGACUUGCAGUCUUUACAGGGUCACUGCAGAAGGUAUGACUUAUACACACAGACACAUAAACGCAUAUAUGUUAAGAAAAUGUUCUGA
rnacentral:lncRNA from 1 species